GAGACACAGCCGCCACGGUAAUACGAAGGGUGCAAGCGUUAAUCGGAAUUACUGGGCGUAAAGCGUGCGUAGGCGGUUUGUUAAGUCUGUUGUGAAAUCCCCGGGCUCAACCUGGGAAUGGCAGUGGAUACUGGCAAGCUAGAGUGUGUCAGAGGAUGGUGGAAUUCCCGGUGUAGCGGUGAAAUGCGUAGAGAUCGGGAGGAACAUCAGUGGCGAAGGCGGCCAUCUGGGACAACACUGACGCUGAGGCACGAAAGCGUGGGGAGCAAACAGGAUUAGAUACCCGCGUAGUCCCUGUCUCUUAUACA
rnacentral:rRNA from 1 species